rnacentral:rRNA from 1 species
UACGUAGGCAGCAAGCGUUGUUCGGAGUUACUGGGCGUAAAGAGUGCGUAGGUGGUGCCCUAAGUCUGUUGUGAAAUCUCCCGGCUUAACUGGGAGGGUGCGGUGGAAACUGGGGUGCUUGAGUGUGGGAGAGGUAAGCGGAAUUCCUGGUGUAGCGGUGAAAUGCGUAGAUAUCAGGAGGAACACCGGUGGUGUAGACGGCUUACUGGACCACGACUGACACUGAGGCACGAAAGCGUGGGGAGCGAACAGG